GCCGGGAUGGUCUAAUCGGUUAAGGCGUCGCCCCGGACAGGCGAAGGUUGCGGGUUCAAUCCCCACUUCUGGCC
rnacentral:tRNA from 1 species